AUUGAACGCUGGCGGCAUGCUUUACACAUGCAAGUCGAACGGCAGCGCGGGCUUCGGCCUGGCGGCGAGUGGCGAACGGGUGAGUAAUGCAUCGGAACGUGCCCAGUAGUGGGGGAUAGCCCGGCGAAAGCCGGAUUAAUACCGCAUACGACCUGAGGGUGAAAGCGGGGGACCGAAAGGCCUCGCGCUAUUGGAGCGGCCGAUGUCGGAUUAGCUAGUUGGUGGGGUAAAGGCUUACCAAGGCGACGAUCCGUAGCUGGUCUGAGAGGACGACCAGCCACACUGGGACUGAGACACGGCCCAGACUCCUACGGGAGGCAGCAGUGGGGAAUUUUGGACAAAGGGGGCAACCCUGAUCCAGCCAUGCCGCGUGCGGGAAGAAGGCCUUCGGGUUGUAAACCGCUUUUGUUCGGGAAGAAAUCCUCUGGGCUAAUACCCCGGGGGAAUGACGGUACCGGAAGAAUAAGCACCGGCUAACUACGUG
rnacentral:rRNA from 1 species